GACAUCUCGAUGAGGAGGAUCACGUUUCGGCCGUGAUUGUGAGUUGUAGCUUAGCUCUGUCAGG
rnacentral:tRNA from 1 species